GACAGAGGGGGCAAGCGUUGCUCGGAAUUACUGGGCGUAAAGGGCGCGUAGGCGGGAUGGCAAGUCGGUCGUGAAAUCCUUCGGCUCAACCGAAGAACGUCGAUCGAUACUGCUGUUCUUGAGGGUUGCAGAGGAGACUGGAAUUCCCGGUGUAGCGGUGAAAUGUGUAGAGAUCGGGAGGAACACCGGUGGCGAAGGCGGGUCUCUGGUACGUGACUGACGCUGAGACGCGAAAGCGUGGGGAGCAAACAGG
rnacentral:rRNA from 1 species